rnacentral:rRNA from 1 species
CGGUAACAGAUCUAGCUUGCUAGAUGCUGACGAGCGGCGGACGGGUGAGUAAUGCAUAGGAAUCUGCCCGGUAGUGGGGGAUAACCUGGGGAAACCCAGGCUAAUACCGCAUACGUCCUACGGGAGAAAGGGGGCUUUGGCUCCCGCUAUUGGAUGAGCCUAUGUCGGAUUAGCUAGUUGGUGAGGUAAAGGCUCACCAAGGCAACGAUCCGUAGCUGGUCUGAGAGGAUGAUCAGCCACAUCGGGACUGAGACACGGCCCGAACUCCUACGGGAGGCAGCAGUGGGGAAUAUUGGACAAUGGGGGCAACCCUGAUCCAGCCAUGCCGCGUGUGUGAAGAAGGCCUUCGGGUUGUAAAGCACUUUCAGCGAGGAAGAACGCCUGGUGGUUAAUACCCGCCAGGAAAGACAUCACUCGCAGAAGAAGCACCGGCUAACUCCGUGCCAGCAGCCGCGGUAAUACGGAGGGUGCAAGCGUUAAUCGGAAUUACUGGGCGUAAAGCGCGCGUAGGUGGCUUGAUAAGCCGGUUGUGAAAGCCCCGGGCUCAACCUGGGAACGGCAUCCGGAACUGUCAGGCUAGAGUGCAGGAGAGGAAGGUAGAAUUCCCGGUGUAGCGGUGAAAUGCGUAGAGAUCGGGAGGAAUACCAGUGGCGAAGGCGGCCUUCUGGACUGACACUGACACUGAGGUGCGAAAGCGUGGGUAGCAAACAGGAUUAGAUACCCUGGUAGUCCACGCCGUAAACGAUGUCGACCAGCCGUUGGGUGCCUAGAGCACUUUGUGGCGAAGUUAACGCGAUAAGUCGACCGCCUGGGGAGUACGGCCGCAAGGUUAAAACUCAAAUGAAUUGACGGGGGCCCGCACAAGCGGUGGAGCAUGUGGUUUAAUUCGAUGCAACGCGAAGAACCUUACCUACCCUUGACAUCUACAGAAGCCGGAAGAGAUUCUGGUGUGCCUUCGGGAACUGUAAGACAGGUGCUGCAUGGCUGUCGUCAGCUCGUGUUGUGAAAUGUUGGGUUAAGUCCCGUAACGAGCGCAACCCUUGUCCUUAUUUGCCAGCGAGUAAUGUCGGGAACUCUAAGGAGACUGCCGGUGACAAACCGGAGGAAGGUGGGGACGACGUCAAGUCAUCAUGGCCC